rnacentral:rRNA from 1 species
UACGAAGGGGGCUAGCGUUGCUCGGAAUUACUGGGCGUAAAGCGCGUGUAGGUGGUCACGCAAGUCAGGUGUGAAAGCCCAGGGCUCAACCCUGGAAGUGCACAUGAUACUACGUGGCUGGAGUACUGAAGAGGAGAGCGGAAUUCCCGGUGUAGAGGUGAAAUUCGUAGAUAUCGGGAGGAACACCAGUGGCGAAGGCGGCUCUCUGGGCAGAUACUGACACUGAGACGCGAAAGCGUGGGUAGCAAACAGG